rnacentral:rRNA from 1 species
UACGUAGGGGGCGAUCGUUGUCCGGAUUUACUGGGCGUAAAGGGUGAGUAGGCGGUUAUAUAUGUCAGGUGUAAAAAGCUAUGGCUUAACCAUAGUAAGCACUUGAAACUGUAUGACUUGAGUGCAGGAGAGGUAAGUGGAAUUCCUAGUGUAGCGGUGAAAUGCGUAGAUAUUAGGAAGAAUACCAGUAGCGAAGGCGACUUACUGGCCUUUAACUGACGCUGAGGAACGAAAGCGUGGGUAGCAAACAGGAUUAGAUACCCGGGUAGUCCCUGA